UUAAAUUCUAAACCACAAACUCAAAUCUACAAUAUUUCUCUAAAAAAUGAAAACUUUCCAAAAAUAGCAGCUUUUAAGAAAAUUAUUUAAAAAUACAACCUAUUGAUGAAAAACUCUGAAAAAAUACUCAACAAUCCAAAAAUAUUCUUCUAAUUCUAAUUUCUAAAUAACAAACCCAAAUCUACAAUAUUUCUCUAUAAAAUGAAAACUUUCUAAAAAUAGCAGUUUUUAAGAAAAUUAUUUAAAAAUACAACAUAUUGAUGAAAAAAUAUGAAAGAAUACUCAAUAUCCACAAAUAAUCUUUUUAUCUUAACUUCUAAUCCAAAAAUUCAAAUCUACAAUAUUUCUCUAAAAAUGAAAAGUUUCAUAAAAUAGCUGUUUUUAAGAAAAUUAUUUAAAAAUACAACUCUAUUGAUGCAAAAUUCUAAGAGAAUACUUAUCUAUCAACAAAUAUUCUUAUAAUCCUAAUUUCUAAAUGACAAACCCAAAUCUACAAUAUUUCUCUAUAAAAUAAAAACUUUCUAAAAAAAUCAGUUUUUAAGAAAAUUAUUUUAAAAUACAUCAUAUUGAUGAAAAAAUUUGAAAGAAUAUUCAACUAUCCACAAAUAAUAUUUUUAUCUUAAAUUUUAAACCUCAAACUCAAAUCUACAAUAUAUCUCUAAAAAAAUAAAAACUUUCCUAAAAUAGCAGUUUUUAACAAAAUUAUUUAAAAAAUACAACCUAUUGAUGCAAAAUUCUGAAAGAAUACUCAUAUAUCCACAAAUAUUAUUGUAAUCCUAAUUUCUAAAUCACAAACCAAAAUCUACAAUAUUUCUCUAUAAAAUGAAUACUUUUUAAAAAUAGCAGUCUUUAAGUAAAUUAUUUUAAAAUACAACAUAUUGAUGAAAAAAUUUGAAUGAAUACUCAAUUAUCCACAAAUAAUCUUUUUAUCUUAAAUUCUAAACCGCAAACUCAAAUCGAAAAUAUUAUUCUAAAAAAAUGAAAACUUUCCUAAAAUAGCAGUUGUAAGAAAAUUAUUUAAAAAUACAACAUAUUGAUGAGAAAAUCUGAAAGAAUACUCAUACAUCAACAAAUAUUCUUGUUAUCCUAACUUCUAAACCAUAAACUCAAUUCUUCAAUAUUUCUCUAUAAAAUGAAAAGUUUCCAAAAUAGCAUUUUUAAAAAAAUUAUAUAAAAAUACAACAUAUUGAUGCAAAAUUCUGAAAGAAUACUUAUCUAUCCAUAAAUAUUCUUGUAAUCCUAAUUUCUAAAUCACAAACCCAAAUCUACAAUAUUUCUCUAUAAAAUGAAAACUGUCUAUAAAUAGCAGUUCUAAGAAAAUUAUUUAAAAAUACAACAUAUUGAUGAAAAAAUCUGAAAGGAUACUGAACUAUCCACAAAUAUUCUUGUAAUCCUAAUUUCUAAAUCACAAACUCAAAUCUACAAUAUUUUUCUAUAAAAUGAAAACUUUCUAAAAAUAACAUUUUUUAAAACAAUUAUUUAAAAAUACAAUAUAUUGAUGAAAAAAUUUGAAAAAAUAAUCAAUUAUCCACAAAUAAUAUUUGUAUCUUAACUUCUAAUCCACAAACUCAAAUCUACAAUAUUUCUCUAAAAAUGAAAACUUUCAUAAAAUAGUUGUUUUUAAGAAAUACUUAUCUAUCAACAGAUAUUCUUAUAAUCCUAAUUUCUAAAUCACAAACCCAAAUAUAUUCGUAAAUAUUAUUGUAAUCCUAAUUUUCUAAACCAUAAACUCAUUUCUUCAAUAUUUCUCUAUAAAAUGAAAAGUUUCCAAAAAUUGCAUUUUUAAAAAAAUUAUAUAAAAAUGCAACAUAUUGAUGCAAAAUUCUGAAAGAAUACUUAUCUAUCCACAAAUAUUCUUGUAAUCAUAAUUUCUAAAUCACAAACUCAAAUCUACAAUAUUUCUCUAUAAAAUGAAAACCUUCUAAAAAUAGCAACUUUUAAGAAAAUUAUUUUAAAAUACAACAUAUUGAUGAAAAAAUCUGAAUGGAUACUCAACUAUCCACAAAUAUUCUUAUAAUCCUAAUUUCUAAAUCACAAACUCAAAUAUAUAAUAUUUCUCUAUAAAAUGAAAACUUUCUAAAAAUAGCAGUUUUUAAGAAAAUUAUUUAAAAAUACAACAUAUUGAUGAAAAAAUCUGAAAAAAUACUCAACUAUCCACAAAUAAUCUUUUUUAUCCUAACUUCUAAUCCACAAACUCAAAUCUACAAUAUUUCUCUAAAAAUGAAAACUUUCA
rnacentral:lncRNA from 1 species